GAUGAAGAACGUAGCGAAAUGCGAUAAGUAAUGCGAAUUGCAGAAUUCAGUGAGUCAUCGAAUCUUUGAACGCACAUUGCGCCCUGUGGUAUUCCGCAGGGCAUGCCUGUUCGAGCGUCAUUUCAACCCUCAAGCCCCGCUUGGUGUUGGGCCCCGCCCGCUGUGGCCGGCCCUAAAGACAGUGGCGGCGCCGCCUGGCCCUCAGCGUAGUACAUCUCUCGCUCCAGGGUCCGGUGGCCGCCUGCCAGAACCCCCCAACUCUGUGGUUGACCUCGGAUCAGGUAGGGAUACCCGCUGAACUUAAGCAUAUCAAAAGCGGAGGA
rnacentral:misc_RNA from 1 species